UACGUAGGGUGCGAGCGUUGUCCGGAAUUAUUGGGCGUAAAGAGCUCGUAGGCGGUGUGUUACGUCGGCCGUGAAAACCUGCAGCUUAACUGUGGGCGUGCGGUCGAUACGGGCAUCACUGGAGUUCGGCAGGGGAGACUGGAAUUCCUGGUGUAGCGGUGAAAUGCGCAGAUAUCAGGAGGAACACCGGUGGCGAAGGCGGUUCUCUGGGCCGAUACUGACGCUGAGGAGCGAAAGCCAGGGGAGCAAACGGG
rnacentral:rRNA from 1 species